rnacentral:rRNA from 1 species
UACCAGCACCCCGAGUGGUCGGGACGAUUAUUGGGCCUAAAGCAUCCGUAGCCGGUCCUACAAGUCUUCCGUUAAAUCCACCUGCUUAACAGAUGGGCUGCGGAGGAUACUAUAGAGCUAGGAGGCGGGAGAGGCAAGCGGUACUUAGUGGGUAGGGGUAAAAUCCGUUGAUCCAUUGAAGACCACCAGUGGCGAAGGCGGACUUGCCAGAACGCACUCGACGGUGAGGGAUGGAAAGCUGGGGGAGCAAACCGGG